rnacentral:rRNA from 1 species
AUGGGGGAAAUGGCUGGAUGGAAUAUUGAGAAUAAGUUGUUUGCUUUGACCUUGGACAAUGCUGCUUCAAAUGAUGUUUGUGUUGACAGCAUCAUCUCUACCCUUAAAAAUCAUGAUUCUCUAUUAUGUCAAGGCAAGUUCUUUCAUGUGCGCUGUGCUACUCAUAUAAUUAACCUCGUUGCUAGGCAUGGUGUGAGCACGAUUGCAUCUAUUAUAGAUACUGUUCGUGCAUCAGUUUUUAUUGUCAAGAGCUCACCUCAACAACUAGAUAUAUUUAUGAAGCAUGCUACCGAUAUGGGAUUAUUCACAAAAAAGGGUCUUUCUCAAGAUGUGUCUACUAGAUGGAACUCAACCUACUUAAUGCUAGUAGCUGCCAUGCACUAUAAACAGGUUUUCCAAAGGCUUGCUAUUUUGCAACCAGCUAAGUAUCGCAAAUGUGCUCCUAGUAAAGAUGAUUGGGAUAAGGCAAGUGUGGUAUGCUCGUGCUUGAAGAUAUUUUAUAAUGUUACUAAGCUUCUGUCUGGAUCUUACUACCUGACUGCUAACCUGUUCUUUGUUGAAUUCUCUAAGAUUAACAUUUAG